rnacentral:rRNA from 1 species
UACGAAGGGGGCUAGCGUUGCUCGGAAUUACUGGGCGUAAAGGGCGCGUAGGCGGCUCGUUUAGUCAGGCGUGAAAUUCCCGGGCUUAACCUGGGGACUGCGCUUGAUACUGGCGGGCUUGAGGGUGGAAGAGGGUCGUGGAAUUCCCAGUGUAGAGGUGAAAUUCGUAGAUAUUGGGAAGAACACCGGUGGCGAAGGCGGCGACCUGGUCCAUUACUGACGCUGAGGCGCGACAGCGUGGGGAGCAAACAGG